GCGCUUCCACCCCCGGCGACCUCGUCUCCCACCCACCACAGGCUAAUCCCCGACGACCCUCUCUCUUGCGAGCCCUCCUCUCUCUGCCCCACGACCCCUGGUCGCCGCCGCUGCCACCCACGCCCGCAGAUUCCGGUGACUCCCACCCUCAUCUCCUUUCUAUCUAUGUCACACUGCAGCAAAAGGUGUGGGUGUGACACACG
rnacentral:lncRNA from 1 species